UGGGAUGCACAGGACAGUAGUAAAGGGGA
rnacentral:piRNA from 1 species